UGUGGGAGCUGGCUUGCCUGCGAUGGCAGUGGGUCAGCUCCAGAUGUUUAACCUGAUGCACCGCUAUCGCAGGCAAGCCAGCUCCCACA
rnacentral:misc_RNA from 1 species